rnacentral:rRNA from 1 species
AGAGUGAACGCUGGCGGUAGGCCUAACACAUGCAAGUCGAACGGCAGCACAGUAGGAGCUUGCUCUUACGGGUGGCGAGUGGCGGACGGGUGAGGAAUACAUCGGAAUCUACCUUUUGGUGGGGGAUAACGUAGGGAAACUUACGCUAAUACCGCAUACGCCCUUCGGGGGAAAGCCGGGGACCAGCAAUGGCCUGGCGCUGAUAGAUGAGCCGAUGUCGGAUUAGCUAGUUGGUGAGGUAAUGGCUCACCGAAGGCGACGAUCCGUAGCUGGUACUGAGAGGAUGAUCAGCCAC